CUUUGCGGGGCGUGGACCAGCAGGGCCCCGCGGGGAGGGAAGGAGACGCGGGGCCCGGAGCUCGGACCUGGAGCCCAGCCCCGCGGCCCGGAACGGGGCUUCUUGCCUGUGCGUGGCGUGACUACGUGAACGGGAAGGAGCUCUCCAAGCUGUCUCAGGAGCAAACUCUGCAGGCCCUGCGCUCCUCCAAGGAGCCCCUGGUGAUCCAGGUGCUGAGACGCAGCCCCCGCCUCCGGGGGGACAGCUCCUGUCACGACCUGCAGCUGGUGGACAGUGGCACUCAGACCGACAUCACCUUCGAGCAUAUCAUGGCGCUGGGCAAGCUGCGUCCGCCCACCCCGCCCAUGGUCAUCCUGGAGCCGUACGUCCUCUCUGAGCUGGCCGAGGGAGGACCCUCCUGUCCGGGACGUCGCUGCCGGAAGUGCCAGGGUUGAGGGCCUCAGCUCCUCCUCCUCCAUCCUCUCUCCUCUGCCGCCUCACAAGCAUCACUCCUUGAAUCUUCUUGCAUCCCUUGUCUGUCUCAUUCCUCUACCUGCUCUGAAUUUCCUCCAUCUCUUCAGCUUCUUUCUUUGGCCCGACCGGAAGAAGGGCCUUUCAUCCAGGCCUGGUGGCUCAUGACCGCCCCCCCAAUCAGCCAUGAGUAUUAUGACCCGGCGGAGUUUAUG
rnacentral:lncRNA from 10 species